ACCAGCCCUGCCCACACAGGCUCCACCUAUUGAGUGAUGCAAACAAGAUAGAGGCUCAUAGAUCUAGUCAUGGAUAGAUUUGCAAUAAUAAAGAGAAAUGUCAUCUGAUACGUCACAUUAAUUAGAGCUGCUUGUGUCAACUUAUAUUGUUGCUGCCUGUCAGUACUCAGUACUGGAAUUAGCAUGAAGUGAGUCUAACUAGAAACAAUACAAAUCAGGCAAAAUUGUUUUAUUAAAGUUAAUCUAAGCUGCAUAUAAUGUACCCAAAAGUUGAUGCAACUAACAAAAUUUUUAGGUGUAAUUAUUAUUUUUAUAAAGUAUUAGAUAUUACACUUUCAAUCUUAAUUCUUGACAACAAA